rnacentral:rRNA from 1 species
AUGAUCACCGUGGACGUCGAUCCGGAGGCUCUGAAUUGCCCAAGAUGUCUUCGUCCCCUCGAACCUCCGGUGUUCCAGUGCGCGGCCGGCCAUGUCGUGUGCUCGACCUGCCACGGCGACCUCCCGGACAAGGACAAGUGCAUUUCGUGCUUCGUCAACUCCGGCUUCAGCCGCUGCUUCAUCCCCACAAGCUACGGCCGCUGCUUCGCCCUGGAGCGCGUCCUCCGAUCGGUCCGUGUCGCCUGCCCACACGGCUGCGCCGCCACGAAGAUGCUCUACCACGAGAAGGCGGAGCACCAGAAGACCUGCGCCGGAUCAUCCUCAACCGCCGUGCUCCUGCAGCAAGGUCCCCCGGGUGACUGCAGCUACGAGCUUGUUUUGCCCAAGGUUCUGUCGUCCUCGCGGGCCAGCGUCACCGUCACCAUCACCGGUGAUGACGUCGGGAAGAAGAAGAUCCCCGGUAGUGGCAAGGGAUCAAUGGGAUCGUUGGUGAGGAUGGGUCCUUGCGGCGGCAGCGGUGGCAACAUCAGGGAGACGGGCAUGUCGGACGUCAACCGAAUCGUCCAGGUCAUCCUCCGGCACGGAAACGCCAUGGACACCAUUUCCGUCAUGUACGAGUGGAAGGGCAAGGAGGUGUGGACCGACAGGUGGGGUGGCGAAGGCGGCAAGCCCUCCCCGGUAGUUCAGUCUGCAGCAGGACGAGUACCUGACGAGCGUCCAUGGCCACUAUGGCCAAUUCAAGGGCUUUGUCGUCGUAAGAUCGCUGAAGUUUGUCAGCAACCUUCGCAGCUACGGGCCGUAUGGGAAAGAGGACGGCGUGUCAUUCGCACUCCACGCCGGCCCCGGUGGCAAGAUCAUCGGCUUCCACGCGCGAUCCGGCCAAUUCCUUGA